rnacentral:rRNA from 1 species
CAGUCGCCACGGUAAUACGAAGGGGGCGAGCGUUGCUCGGAAUGACUGGGCGUAAAGGGCGCGUAGGCGGUUUCGUAAGUCUGAUGUGAAAUCUAUGGGCUCAACCCAUAGUCUGCAUCGGAAACUGCGAGGCUUGAGAGUGGGAGAGGUGAGUGGAAUUUCCGGUGUAGCGGUGAAAUGCGUAGAUAUCGGAAGGAACACCUGUGGCGAAAGCGGCUCACUGGACCAUUUCUGACGCUGAUGCACGAAAGCUAGGGGAGCAAACAGGAUUAGAUACCCCCGUAGUCCCUGUCUCUUAUAC